rnacentral:lncRNA from 1 species
UCCAUUGUAUCACACACAUGUCCAUUGUAUGACACGCGUGUUGUUGCCGUGUCACACACGUGUUGUUGCCAUGUCACACGCGUGUCGUUGCCGUGUUACACAUGUCCAUUGCAUGACACAUGUGUCCUUGUCAUGUCACACACAUGUCCAUUGUAUUACACACGUCCAUUGUAUGACACGCGUGUCCUUGUCAUGUCACACGCGUGUCGUUGCCGUAUUACACAUGUCCAUUGUAUGACACGUGUGUUGUUGCCAUGUCCCACGCGUGUUGUUGCCGUGUCACACACAUGUUGUUGCCGUGUUACACGCGUGUUGUUGCCGUGUUACACGCGUAUGCUCCCCCCGUGUUCCAUGUUGGUGUUUCCCGUGUCUCCCAUUGGCGGCUCCACGUCCCCGUCGUCAGACACAGGAUCCUCUGGGGGCACAAAGGGGGGAAAUCAAUGGGGCUGCCCCAUAGCGGAGCCCUAUAGGGAUCCCUGCCCCAUAGCGUAGCCCUACAGGGAUCCCUGACCCAUAGCAGAGCCCUAUAGGGAUCCCUGCCCCAUAGCGGAGCCCUAUAGGGAUCCCUGCCCCAUAGCGGAGCCCUAUAGGGAUCCCUGCCC